rnacentral:rRNA from 1 species
GUGGGGAAUUUUGGACAAUGGGGGCAACCCUGAUCCAGCCAUCCCGCGUGUGCGAUGAAGGCCUUCGGGUUGUAAAGCACUUUUGGCAGGGAAGAAAAGUUUCGGGCUAAUACCCUGGAGCGAUGACGGUACCUGCAGAAUAAGCACCGGCUAACUACGUGCCAGCAGCCGCGGUAAUAAGUAGGGUGCAAGCGUUAAUCGGAAUUACUGGGCGUAAAGCGUGCGCAGGCGGUGCGGAAAGAAAGAUGUGAAAUCCCAGGGCUUAACCUUGGAACUGCAUUUUUAACUGUCGAACUCGAGUAUGUCAGAGGGGGGUAGAAUUCCACGUGUAGCAGUGAAAUGCGUAGAGAUGUGGAGGAAUACCGAUGACGAAGGCAGCCCCCUGGGAUAAUACUGACGCUCAUGCACGAAAGCGUGGGGAGCAAACAGGAUUAGAAACCCCGGUAGUCC